GGCGUAUAAGGCCUCCACGAUGGGAUGUCGUAUGGAUGAUAUCCUGAAGGCAGCGGAUUGGUCUAGAGAAUCUACGUUCCGCAAUUUUUAUUUCCGCCCGAUUGACCAUGUUUCCUCGUUAGUUAUGGCUCAGCUUUAAACUAGCAUAAUAGGAGCCUCCGUGCCAUUAAUAAAAUUCCCAGAUUUUACUAAUAACAUGACGUAAAGUCAUGAUUUUAUUAAUGACACGGAGGCGAGUAUUAUUCCC